rfam:Candidatus Lloydbacteria bacterium RIFCSPHIGHO2_02_FTLL_50_13 rifcsphigho2_02_scaffold_5145, whole genome shotgun sequence.
UAUACUGAUGAGUAAUCGUUCGUAAAAGCCAUGCAAGAAGUCAGCAGCGUUCGUAGUACCAAAAAGGUAGACAAGCGGUUCAAUCCGAAACUUGCUCUGCCUAUUGGGAAGGAA